CAAGCUUCAGAAAAAUCGGGCUAAAAUGAGCGUUAUUAAGAUUUGUAUUAGGCUUUGCGCAAGGAUAUAGAAAUCAGAGCCACUAAUGAGCUCAAUGGUAUCGACGACCUGCAGUGUGUAAUUCAGUCCAAAACGUAUUAUUGGACUAUUUAGGGGCCGAUUGAUAAUUAUCGAGGCCCAUUAAGAGCCCCAACAAAGAGUUUGAUUGGGCUUAAGACGAAUGACUUCUCUCCGACAGUGAACUGCUAACGAGUUUUGACGAUCAUCAUCACAGAACCACAGACCAAUCCUGUCGUCGCCAUGUCUCUCCGUAAAACCCUAACCGCAUUAAGCCGACCUCCGUCGCCAAUCUCCGCCGUCAAUCUCGAAGCUGCAGAGCCCUCUCGCUCUUCACAAAUCACUUUCCGACCCCGUAAACUCCGGAGAGUUUCGUUAGAUGAUCUGAAUCCGUCGCCGACGACGAUCACCGCGUCUCCUCUAUCCUCGAAGUCGACGGUUGAUAUCGCGCUCCGCCACCUCCUAAUCUCCGACGAGCUCCUCGGAGGAGUAAUCUCGGCUCACAACACUCCCCCCGUGUUCGAAUCAACCAGCACACCGUUCCUCUCCCUAGCGAGAUCCAUCCUCUACCAACAGCUCGCCACCAAGGCUGCGAAGUGCAUCUACGAUCGGUUCAUCUCUCUGUUCCCCGGCGGAGAAUCAGGUGUCCUCCCUGAGUCCGUCAUCUCAGUCUCCGCCGUGGAUCUUCGUAAGAUCGGCGUCUCCGGGAGGAAAGCGAGCUACCUCCACGACUUAGCCGGAAAAUACAAAAGCGGCGAGCUUUCCGAUGAGAUGAUUCUGGAAAUGAGCGAUGGAGAGCUGACCGACCGGUUAACUUCGGUUAAGGGGAUUGGAGUGUGGACGGUUCACAUGUUCAUGAUAUUCUCGCUUCACAGGCCUGAUGUGUUGCCUGUGGGGGAUCUCGGCGUGAGGAAAGGCGUGAAGGAUCUUUACGGUUUGAAAAAUCUUCCUGGUCCGUUGCAGAUGGAGCAGCUUUGUGAGAAGUGGAGGCCUUUCAGGUCCGUUGGUUCAUGGUACAUGUGGAGACUCAUCGAGUCUAACAAGACUUCUAAGACCAAGUUGUCUAAAUAAACUAGUCAGGUAAUAAUACCCAUCUCUGCCAUUGAAUGCCGGAGUAUACUAUAAUUAGAAAGGAGAAGAGACAUUAACAUUUAUUUGAAGGCACACUUCUUCUUGGUCGGUCAGGACAGCUAAUCUCUCACCUUGUGAUGAAGAAGCUAUUCCACGCCCAUCAACCACUUGUUGUUGCAUCUUCGCUUCUCUUCCAAGCUUCACUUGCUGGAAAAUCUUGAGUUUCGUUUUCCUGUCUUUGCGCAAUUUAGAGCACGUGAGAGGAAAAUGCAUUUGUACUUUUAACAGUGUGGUGGUUGUAACUUGUGUACUACCGUAGAAAUACAUUAUCAAAACUAGUUUCAUUUUGCUUGGGUUCAUUGUAACAACACUAUUGGACUUCGGCCAAUGUCUCCAGUGACCCAAUUAAAUUAAUCAGAAAGCUUGGAUCUGA